GAUGAACGCUGGCGGCGUGCCUAAUACAUGCAAGUCGAACGGAGAAUGUAGCAAUACGUUCUUAGUGGCGAACGGGUGAGUAACGCGUUGGUGACCUGCCCCGAAGAGGGGGAUAACAGUUCGAAAGGAUUGCUAAUACCCCAUGUGGUCCCUGGGAUUAGAUGCCCGGUGACUAAAGGAGUCUCUUCACUUCGGGAGGGGCCUGCGUCCCAUCAGCUAGUUGGUAGGGUAAUGGCCUACCAAGGCUUCGACGGGUAGGGGGCCUGAGAGGGUGGCCCCCACACUGGCACUGAAACACGGGCCAGACACCUACGGGAGGCUG
rnacentral:rRNA from 1 species